rnacentral:rRNA from 1 species
GGGCCAACAAAUCAGGCGAGACAUCUGAAUUCUACAGAAAAAUAGUACAGAGGAGCAAGGGAGGGAGCGGGGCAAGGCAACCUCGGCAGGCACGGGAACGGUGCAGGGGUUCCGGAGACGACGCCACACGCCUGGAAGAGCCGCUGGAUGGGGGACACCCUUCUCGCUCGCCGCGGCUGACGCCCAGCCGCCGCCGCCGCCAUCUCCACUGUCAACACCUCAAUUAUCCCCGCCCGAGCUCCACCAUCACCGUCCCCAUCACAGGCAACUCCAAGCCUCGAUCUUUGACGCGAAAACGAACAAGGAGGCGGAGGCUGUCUUGCAGUAGGAGAGGGCCGACAUCCCGGACGGGAGCGGCGCCACCGCUCUGAUGAGACAAGCAGCGGGCAAAAUCUUGAAGCCAACUCGCUUGCCGUGCCCCUCCUUCACGCCGACGGACGGCUGCAGCCUGCAGCGACGGGAACAGAACGAGAUCGAGGGGAGCGCUAGCUGGUUCACUGGAUCUCUCCGCUGCCCACGGCCGGCUGUCGGAAGGUAAAGCGAAAGGGGAAGGAG